AAUCCAAUACAGCUUUUGGAUUAUCUUCUGAUUCCAGCUGAUCUGUAUUGUUUAUAUUUGUAUUUCCUAAGCUUCGAGUAUUCACGAUUCAUUUUAUAGAAAUGUUUUUUUAUAAAGAGGUCAUAUUGAAAUCGUGAAUAAGUUUUUCCAUAGUUGAGCAAGUUAUCCUUAGCUUGGUGUAAACUUGCAUCAAACCACUUCUUGUUGUUGUUUUUUUUAUUUUAUCUAAAAUAAAAAAAAAACUGGUAUGAUUGGCAAUAAGAUGACUAUCCAUCAGAGUCCUUAUGAAGCAGAUUUAAGCAUAUAUAGGUCAUAAUGAAAAUUAACAAAACAGCGAUUCAACAUUACAAUGAGCGAAACCCAUACUGUAUAUAGUCACAUAUAAAAGAUCCCGACAUGACAAAAUGUGAAACAAUUCAAUCGAAAACAACGGUCUGAAUUAUGACAAAACAUUUAACAUAAAACAAAUAUCGAUACACAGCAAUCAAUGACAACCACUGACUUUCAUGCUCCUGACUUGGGACAAGCCCAUAUAUAUUUUGUGAGAGCUCAACCCUUACCUAACCUGGUGUAACAGGUGUGUUACAGUACAACAUACGAAUAAACUGUAAAAAUCAGUUGGAAAUGAAUCGACUCAUUAGAUCGGCAAGGAGCACAAAAAACACUUGCAUGAAGACAAAAUAUUAAAAAAGUGCGGAAAAUAAGUAACUCGGCGAGGUCAGUCGCAGUUACUGAAAGCUAAAUCAAAGCAAGGAUUUGUAUAGAAAUCCAUACAAAUCCUUGAUCAAAGCCAAUAAAAACUAAUAAAUGAAAAUGCAGGCCCAGAAUUUUGAAAAGGGGGCCAAAACUAGGCAACGUUAGCAUUGGAACAUGUAAAAAGUCUAUGCAUUAACCAUAUAUGUAGCUCCACAAGGGGGACAGGCCCCUGUCCGUCCUUCUAAAUCCGUCUCUGAAAUAAAUCAUUUUCUCCCAGACUGAAGUACCAAUCAGUACACAUCCAACGGAUUUGGUUAAAAGUCUUACAAAAAAAGUAUGAGAAAAGCAUGACCUAAUGCAAUGCCAAAAUAUAAGUACAAAUAUAAAUCAAUGAAUAAUCAACACACUGAAUAAUAAGCAGGAAAUGUUCUUCCUUUACUUAAUUGCUGUUUCGUAUAAAUUUAACAAUUGUUAAUAUAAUAACAGCAUUCAAGUUCAAAUCGCAUAGUGUUAUUCAUUUUGGAUCCAUAUAUACGCAGUCUCUGUAGUUAAUACUUAACCUCCUUGAACUUUGGAACUUUAGAAUUAUACAAGUUUGAUUUGGUUUUAAAUUUGUAUUACGUUCAAGAUUGUUUUAGUGAAAUCAGAAUAGAUUGAUAUGAAUCAUUUUGCUUCAUACUGAUGAAGGAUAUAUGUUAUCCGAAAUAUUUAUUGUUACCUUUUUUUUAAAAUUGGUAUUGUUUUGAACACUUUUAGGCCAAUUUAAUUUAUUGUGUACAGUAUCGUUUUACAUAACCAUCCAACGCCCUCGUAAGACAGCUCGUUGACUAAUAUCUAGACGUUUUAUGUGUUUGGAUGUCUUGUGUAAAAAUGUUUGUUGAAUGUGGUGAGAAUUUAAUAAACUAUUGAAUCCAGAAAAGAAUGUUGAUUGUCCAGAUAAAAACUUACUAAUCCGGAAAAUGACAAUAGACUUUAUUAAAAAGUAUGUAUGCUAUAGUGUCAGCUGAGCUGGGAGCUAAAAUCUGCCAACACACUAUUUCAUUUUUCUACAAAUUCUGAUAUGAAGUAACAUAUGUUGAAUUGCAAUAAUCAUAAAUAAAUGAUUGAUCUAUAGAAAUUUUCUGAUGGAUUUUUCUUAUUCUUCGCUUUUUUGACUCAUUAAAUUAUUGUCAUUUGGGUAAUUUUUUUAUGGAUAAUGUAAUUAAACAUUUUGCUAUACUCCACAUAAUCCGUAUUGGAUGUUUACACCUUUUAUUUAUUACAUUAUCAAUAUAAUACAUGUUUUUAUAAUGUACUUGAAUUAUAACUUUAAACUCACUGAUAACAAUGCUCAGUAUUAAAGAUAACUUGUAUAACUAGUGGAACAUAUUUCAAAGACAAGGAACAUAAGAAGUAAAUUGUCACGUUGUGUUUGUUGCUUAAUUGGGUUGCUGUCUAAAUUAAUUAUGUAUAUUUCACAUCUCCUUAAAAAUCAUUCAUAGAAAUUAAACAUUGCUUAAAAUAUGUUAGCAUACAUGUAUAAAUGCUUUUAUCGUCUGAGAGUAGUUUUUUGUUCUUCUUAUAUUCCUUUUUAGAUAUAUUUUUUGUCUUUCUGUUCUUCAACGUCUGCUAUCUUGCUAUGAAGAGCUAGCUAGGUAGAUCUAGACAACAUCCAACUUAGCCCAACGAUCUUGUGGUGUGUGCGGGGGCAUUUAUUAUGUAAUGAGUGAAAGGGAUGAGUCGCUGGGAUAGAUCACUAUUUGAAGCUUCAUGAUAUUGCAUGAGGUCGAGAAAUUUAGAUGAAAUAUAAGACAAGGUUGAUGAUUGAAUCUGAAACUAAUCAGAUGUCGAUAUUUUUUUUUUACAGAUGCAAUUAAAAUCACAAGAGAUUGUGUAUAUAUGUCUCUAAAAUCACUUUCGUAAAUGUUUAAGAUAUUUGUCAAAUCUAUUUACUAGUAUCUCCCCAUGAAAUAGCGUAACAAUAAUAGCUAUGUGCAGGUAUAUAUACUUAUUGUAAAAAAUAUAUGAUAGCUAGGGUAACUACAUGUAUGUUUUUGUAUCAUUCAAUAUAUAUAUAUAUAUAUAGGAAAAAAAUAAGGCUGAAAAUGCACCAAAUUUCAACACUAUACAUAACAAUUUAUCAUUUUUACAGAGCGACCAGAGGAUGUUGAAAUUAUUUAAUUCACACAAAGUAAUUAAAAGCAAACGGCAACCGAAAUCAUUAAAAAAAUUGUUGACCCGCGCAACAUUCCAAACUGAAAAUAGUCAACCAAAGGUACAAAAAUAUGGACGACCAAACCGUGAAUCUUGUUUAUAAUUAUCCGAAGGAACACUAUUCGUUUUUAAAUCAGGACACAUUUUUAAAAUCAAGAACAGUUUUACAUGUGCAUCGGAAAAUCUUCUAUACAUCAUCACUUGCAGUGGUUGUCAAGAAAAUUAUAUUGGACAAACCGGCAAUACCAUUAGAAAACGAAUGAUAGUACAUAGACAGCAAAUUCGAGUCCCGAGCACAAGAAAAAUCCCACUUAGCGAACAUAUUGAUAGAUGCGCUGGAUCAAAUCAUCCAGAUUUCUUCCUUUUUCCAUUUUAUCAGUGUUCAGAUAAUACAACGGAACCAAUGAGAAAUAUAAAGAAAAUUAUUUUAUUAAGAAAUACCAUCCUAAAUUAAAUAGAUGAAAUGAGAAUCUGGAAGGCAUUUAUUUAUAAUUAUGUACUUUCACUUUCGUACCUACGUUGUGCUAUAUUAUGACGUUCAGGAUUAAAUAAUAAUGUCGCUGAUGGACGUUACCCCUGACGACGUCGCCAGCAACCAUAUCCUUGAACAUCUGUAAAACAGUGACACCGGUAGGAUACUAUGGAGAACAUUUUUGAACAAUUUGUUGUUGUAAUAGACAAAAUGUGAAUAUUCAUAUUGAAUAUAAAUAUUUGGUGCAUUUUCAGCAUUAUUUUUUCCCCUAUUUUAUGCACAGCGUUGACAAAAUUUAAAACUUUUUAAUAUAAUGUAUAUAUAUUAUAUAGGAGACGGUAACAAUAUUGUAUAUGAAGCGCUAAAACAUUUUAUAUCGAUCGAAAGAUUUGUAAAUAUUGUAACACAUAGAAUCACAUAACAACAGAACAGCAUGGAAACAACUAGGUAUGUUUUUUUUGUUUUAAUUUUUCAACAAAUCUCUAACAGAAUUUAGUUAUGUAAAUUUUCAAAGCAACAAGUCAUGAAAUCAUUAUACAUAAAAAAUGAAUUGAAACGGAACUUUUUAUUUUGCACAGUUGACUUUAAUUGUGUGCUAGAAAAAAAUCGACCACAAGAUCCGGGAUAAAAUAAAAACGUUCAUCGACUGUAACUCUAUCCUAAGACUUAAAGCGUAUAUAUGGUUGAAUUGUUGUGUAUAAUUUAACAGGUAAAGUGGCUUUUUUAUUUCAUUUCAUUGAUUGAUACGUGUUUAAUUCAACGGGGUGAGUAUUAGUAUUAAUUUUAUAUUUGUGUCGUAGGUAUUAAAAUCGGUCAAAACAAAAGUUGUUUUUCAGUUACUCUAACACAUGCUAGAUGCGUCAGUUAAUUGCAAAUAAUUGUUUGGAAAUGAGAGUACAAUGCAAUGUAGUUGUCCUACGAACAUACAUGCUUCAGUUUUCUUGAGGCUUAUAAGCCGAAUCCGCUGUGCUAUCUCAAUUAAUAACUGAAAUUGUGUUGAAAAAUUUAUUUCGUGAUGUUAAUUCAAGUCAUAUAAAACGAGUUUCUUGUAAUUUUAAUGGAAUAUUUACAAAGCAUGCAUGCAAAACAAUACAAUACAUUAUAUAUUGGAUAUGUAAAAAAAGAUGAUGUGUGAUGAUGUGAAUGGUUGUACAUAAUAUACAUGCAUGUUAUUGUUCUAUACUAUACAAUUAGAAACAUCUUUGACUCUUUAAUAAAUUCAUAUACAUUCUUUAAAUUUUUGUUCAUCUUCAUCAUAAGUUAAUAACGAAUAACAGGUACUUAGGCUUUUGAAUUUAGUUUGAUAUUUUUUAAUUCGGUUUUAGAUUUACCUUAAGAGUCAAUGUUGCGUGUUACCACGUUAAGGUUAUUCCACAGUCGUAGAGUUGAAGGUAUAAAAGAUUCUUGGAUCAAUGAGAGUCUACAAAAAGGAGCGACCAGAGGAUGUUGAAAUUAUUUAAUUCACACAAAGUAAUUAAAAGCAAACGGCAACCGAAAUCAUUAAAAAAAUUGUUGACCCGCGCAACAUUCCAAACUGAAAAUAGUCAACCAAAGGUACAAAAAUAUGGACGACCAAACCGUGAAUCUUGUUUAUACUUAUCCGAAGGAACACUAUUCGUUUUUAAAUCAGGACACAUUUUUAAAAUCAAGAACAGUUUUACAUGUGCAUCGGAAAAUCUUCUAUACAUCAUCACUUGCAGUGGUUGUCAAGAAAAUUAUAUUGGACAAACCGGCAAUACAUUUGGAAACGAAUGAUAGUACAUAGACAGCAAAUUCGAGUCCCGAGCACAAGAAAAAUCCCACUUAGCGAACAUAUUGAUAGAUGCGCUGGAUCAAAUCAUCCAAAUUUCUUCCUUUUUCCAUUUUAUCAGUGUUCAGAUAAUACAACGGAACCAAUGAGAAAUAUAAAGCAAAUUAUUUUAUUAAGAAAUACCAUCCUAAAUUAAAUAGAUGAAAUGAGAAUCUGGAAGGCAUUUAUUUAUAAUUAUGUACUUUCACUUUCGUACCUACGUUGUGCUAUAUUAUGACGUUCAGGAUUAAAUAAUAAUGUCGCUGAUGGACGUUACCCCUGACGACGUCGCCAGCAACCAUAUCCUUGAACAUCUGUAAAACAGUGACACCGGUAGGAUACUAUGGAGAACAUUUUUGAACAAUUUGUUGUUGUAAUAGACAAAAUGUGAAUAUUCAUAUUGAAUAUAAAUAUUUGGUGCAUUUUCAGCAUUAUUUUUUCCCCUAUUUUAUGCACAGCGUUGACAAAAUUUAAAACUUUUUAAUAUAAUGUAUAUAUAUCAUAUAGGAGACGGUAACAAUAUUGUAUAUGAAGCGAUAAAACAUUUUGUAUCGAUCGAAAGAUUUGUAAAUAUUGUAACACAUAGAAUCACAUGACAACAGAACAGCAUGGAAACAACUAGGUAUGUUUUUUUUGUUUUAAUUUUUCAACAAAUCUCUAACAGAAUUUAGUUAUGUAAAUUUUCAAAGCAACAAGUCAUGAAAUCAUUAUACAUAAAAAAUGAAUUGAAACGGAACUUUUUAUUUUGCACAGUUGACUUUAAUUGUGUGCUAGAAAAAAAUCGACCACAAGAUCAGGGAUAAAAUAAAAACGUUCAUCGACUGUAACUCUAUCCUAAGACUUAAAGCGUAUAUAUGGUUGAAUUGUUGUGUAUAAUUUAACAGGCUUCAACUUAUGAAGUCAAAUAUAUUUUAAAUCUACCAUGCUAACAUAACAACAACUUAUUUGGACUAUGAUAAAUCUACCAUGCUAACAUAACAACAACUUAUUUGGACUAUGAUAAAUCUACCAUGCUAACAUAACAACAACUUAUUUGGACUAUGAUAAAUCUACCAUGCUAACAUAACAACAACUUAUUUGGACUAUGAUAAAUCUACCAUGCUAACAUAACAACAACUUAUUUGGACUAUGAUAAAUCUACCAUGCUAACAUAACAACAACUUAUUUGGACUAUGAUAAAUCUACCAUGCUAACAUAACAACAACUUAUUUGGACUAUGAUAAAUCUACCAUGCUAACAUAACAACAACUUAUUUGGACUAUGAUGAAUCUACCAUGCUAACAUAACAACAACUUAUUUGGACUAUGAUAAAUCUACCAUGCUAACAUAACAACAACUUAUUUGGACUAUGAUAAAUCUACCAUGCUAACAUAACAACAACUUAUUUGGACUAUGAUAAAUCUACCAUGCUAACAUAACAACAACUUAUUUGGACUAUGAUAAAUCUACCAUGCUAACAUAACAACAACUUAUUUGGACUAUGAUAAAUCUACCAUGCUAACAUAACAACAACUUAUUUGGACUAUGAUAAAUCUACCAUGCUAACAUAACAACAACUUAUUUGGACUAUGAUAAAUCUACCAUGCUAACAUAACAACAACUUAUUUGGACUAUGAUAAAUCUACCAUGCUAACAUAACAACAACUUAUUUGGACUAUGAUAAAGGUCUUAUAUUGUUUAUGAUCUUCUUGUUUACUUAUAUAUGGAAAUUGGAGAAUCUGGACUCCUAAUACUUCACGUUUUUCGUCUUACAUUAAUUGACUGGAUCUAACAUACACAAGUCGUCGUGUAAUUCUUAUAAUGUUUUAUGUCGACGUUUGAUGAAAAUGCAGACAUUUAUAUAUACUGACGAACUUUUUAAAAACGCAACACUAGAUUAUUCUUUUUAAUUCUCAUUUUCAAAUAUGCAAUUUUUGUUGAACAAAUGUAUAAAUAUCAAUUUCAUUCAUUAAUUUAUUGUCUAAAAAUAAAAAAAAAAAUUGCAGUUCGAAGAUUUGAUUUGAUUACGUCAUGUUUAAUGUUCAAAUUAUGUGGUAUGCACUGAAACCCUGGUUUUCCCCUUAUCAAUGAUUGUGUCACCGUCGAAGGCAAUGAAUGCAUGUAAUCAACGCCUAAAUGAUUGACAGAAAGGUCAACCAAUUCUUUUAUGCAUGUUUUGAGUUCUGUUUUGUACCUUCUGAUUUAGCCUCUGUCCCACCCUCACAAUGUGUUUUGGCAUUUAUGCGGUUUAAGCUGUAGGGCUUGGGCAUUUCAGUAUAUGGGAAACAUUAAUGGCGUAAAUCUGUCUGCAAUGACAAUCGACGACUUGAUUAGCAGUUGACGUUGCGACCGUAAACAUGUCUUGCAAAUGACGUUGUGUAAUAAAAUUUCAUUGAUGUUGCGUUGUCACUACAUAUUCUAGUGCAACCAUUUUGUAUCAAUGGUUCUGAUUGGAUGACAAUCAGCGUACAAUUCUCCAUCUCCCUGUUUGUAACUAGGGGAAGCCGACAUUUGGGAUUCCGGAAUGUAUGAACAUGUAAUAUCUCCAAUGAUAAGCAAAAAAACUCACAUUUGCACCUAGAAAUCUUCUUUUUAUCAAUUUAUAAUUAGAUUCUAAGGCGGACAAGAAGACAGAAAACGCCCGGUGCUUACGUUUAGUUUCGGUGCCAAAGAAGAUAACAUCAUUUUGCAGACUUUUCGUUUAAUGAAAAUUUAACACCGAAAUUAUGACUAAAAUUCAAAGAUUAGUUAAUUUGCAUCAGAAUAGAGAUAACUGUAUUGCAUUUGAAGCUUUGCAGACGUCCAUCUGUAGUGUUACUGUUGCAAACUGAGUUAACCUGGCGACAGUAGGGGAGACAGGAAAACGGAUAUUUGCGAUGGACGUCCGGAAAGCUUCUAUUUAGAGUUGUUAUGAAUAUAAUAUGUGUUUUCAGCCGUGUAUCUUGUUUAGACGUACUUAUCAAAAUUAUUAUUUCUGUGACUGUAUCAUACGAUCCUUUACGAUAUAUAUUUAGCUAAUCUGCAAUCAAUUCCAUCUUCAUGCCUUAUAUAUCAUGUACUGUGUUACAACUCUAGAUUCUACUGACGAGGAAAAGUAACACCAGGCCACCGAAAGCUGAAUUAUUAGUCCACUCUAGGUGGCCGUACGGUCUAGAGCGCUGGACACAGUGCAGGCGGUGUUGUCUCGAUAUCCCGAUAGUAUGAGUUCGAAUCCCGGCGAGGGAAGAACAAAAAUUUGCUUCCGCACAUUUGUAGAUUUAACAUUGUUGUGCUGAUAUUUAGAGUGGUUAUGAAUACAAUAUGUGUUUUCAGCCGUGUGUAUCACCUUCACUGGUGAUCCAAUCAAUGGAUCUGUCGUAGAGUUGUCACUUGUUUAGAGGUACUUAUCAACAUAAUCAUUUCUGUGACUGUAUCAUACGAUCCUUUACGAUAGAUAUUUAGCUAAUCUGCAAUCAAUUCCAUCUUCAUGCCUAAUAUAUCAUGUACUGUGUUACAACUCUAGAUUCUACUGACGAGGAAAGGUAACACUAGGCCACCGAAAGCUGAAUUUUUAGUUCACUCUAGGUGGCCGUGUGGUCUAGAGCCCUAAUAUAUACUACUUGGUCCAUUUAAGCUUUUUAAAACGUAUUCUCAAAGUAACGGUUUUUAACUGUUAGCUAUAAGUUAUAUUGUGAAUUAUGGAGAUUCCCUAUAUUUGUCAAUACGUAUUGUAGUGUGUUGAAAUAUUGGUUCAAACUAUUAUAUACUGAUAAUUGUAUUCUAAAGUGUUGUUCUGAAGAAAUGUUACAAAGGUCUAUGGUUAGAUAUAAUGAAAUGUGCAACUGGACAUGUAAGUUUAAAAUUACUUAUAUCAAAAAAAGAUAUUAUACUGUGUGAUAUAACAAAGGUUUUAAUAAUACUGAAUUAAUUCUUCAAGAGAAGAACAUAUGUUGUGACGUUUUGGAUUUCAAUGAACGUAAUCUAUGUAUUACUGGAAAAUUAUUAAGUCAGGGAUUUCGUUACCAUAAAGUACUUAAAACCUUUACUUAAUUCUUCCAUAGAUACAAAGAUUUGAUUUGGAAGUUUGGCUGUACCUGUAGAACGCUUAUUUGAAACGGGAUAGCACAUCCUCAUUUUAACGGAUAUGUUGUUUACCGAACCCGGAAAUUUAGAUACGAUCCUGGUAAACGUAUCGAUCCUUUAAAUAAACUUAUUCUAAAAGGUUACCAAUUCAACACUGUAAUAAGAUUUUUGAAUAAUUGUUUUUAUUGAUAUAAAUAUUGAUUUUGUUAUCAGUAAGUUAAUAUCAAAUUAAAUAUUAUUUGUAUAUACAUGGCUCUACAAUCUGUUGAUACCUGUAUCUUGGCAUUGCACAAGAUCAUGUUUUUCUCUGACUGUAAAUGACGUCUUUUCCUAAAUCCAUUGGAUGUUGGAUGUGUACUGAUUGAUAUGUAAGUCUCAGAUACAUGAUUUUUUUAUUAGUUAUUAGCUUUGAACUAGCGGUCAGUAACUGCGAAAACUCUCAGAUCUGUAUUUAGUGUCUUUUUUUGUUGUGGGGUUGUACGAAUACCCUGCCACGUCCGGUCUGUGAUUUUGUUAGACGCUUUUCUUUUUUGUAUCAUUCUUAUGAGUUAAACCCUUUUCAAAUGAUCUUUACAGUUUGUUCUUAUGUUGUACUGUUACACCAUUGUCCCAGGUUCGGGAAAGGGUUUGGCGCCAACAAACUAGAUUAACCCCGCCACAUUAUUUAUGUGCCUAUUCCAAGACAGGAGCCUGUUCUUCAUUGGUUGCCGAUUGUUGCUGUAUAUCAUAUAUUGUUUUUCGUUCAUUGUUUUGUACAUAACUCAGGCCGUUAGUUUUCUCGUUUGAAUUGUUUUACAUUUGUCAUUUUGGUGACUUUUAUAGCUGACUUUGCGGUAUGGAUUUUUGCUCAUUGUCGAAGACCGUACGUUUACCUAUAGUUGUCAUUUGGUCUCUGGUGGAGAGUUUCAUUGGCAAUUAUACCAAAUCUUCUUUUUUUUUAUAUGAAACAUAAUUUUGUGACUGAAAUGAAUGUCUAUUUUAAAAAAGUCGUCGAAAUGUUAUUUUUAUAUAUCUAUUUUACUAUUUAUGAUCCAUAUUGGUUGCAAUUUUGUUUAGAUCGCAGUGUGAAUUAUAUGUACAAAUCGUUCAUUUGCAAAAAAAAAAAACGUUUAUCUUCUCAUAACGUAGCUGUAGACAGAGGUAUAACAUUGAUAGAAAUAUGAGUUUAUGGCACAUAUGUGACAAACAUUUAAUUGAAUACGAAUAUCAUUUUAUUUUUGUUUGUGAAAAAUAUGCUAAUAUAAGAAAAGUGUAUAUCAAAACUUGUUGUUGGAGAAGACCACCCAGUUUCAAAGUGGUACAACUACUGUCUGUUCAUAAUGUAAAAGAAUUGAAUAAUUUAGGAAAUAUUCAUUUCUUGCUGAAAAUUCUUGACUGUAUUUUAUAUUCACGCCGUUGUGAUUUCAUAUUGUUUGUACAUUUAUUAAUAGCUGGACACUGAUGCUGUUGUGAUGUGAAUAUUUGUUAAAUGUAUAUAUUCUAUGAGCUGUUUGCUUACGAAUAAAAUUAUCAAUUUUACUGGCAAUCCAAAUGUCUUGGCCUCCAUUGUAUGUGAUCUAAGUAAUGCUAGAAUCUCGUGUCGUGCCCACGAAAAAAUGUAUCUUAAAUUUAUAUAUUUUGUUACUAUAUUAUUUAUAAUGUGUUCUUGUAAGUGAAGCGAAUAACAUGGUUGCUCUCUCGGACACGUGAAAUAUUUCACCAUUCAGUAAAAUGAAGUCAAUAUCAGGUGUUCUAUUGAUUGUUUUCUU